AGAUGACGUUCUUACUACUGUGAGGAGGUCUGUAUAUUUAACCGAUCACCACGGUAUUUUCUUCUUUCCUAAACGAAAUAGAUUGAAUUGUGGUGUUUCCAUAAUUAUCCUCGUUUCUCGUCUCUCUUCGUCUCUGAUAAACUCGAAAACAAAACAAGUACGUAUAGAGCAUGGAAUUUCGAUCAAGAAUAGAACACUUCGACGAUACACCAACACGAGAUACGUAAAUGCUUCUGGUUUAACGUCAACAUGCGUCACUCUGGCUUGACAAUUAAGUCGACGUUGGGACGACAUUAUAUUCCACGUUCCAACGAACCGGGAUUAUUAACUCAUCGUGGUUGCGUAACGUAGCGAGUGUAGUGGAACGAAAAUUCCCCGGUGUGAUAUUGCGCUGAAGGUCUUUAACAUUCCAUUAAAAAGCGAUAUCAGGCAAAACACCGGAGAAAUCCGUAUCAUUCGUAGCCUAGUCAUCGUCGGUUAUCGAUCGUCUUGUCGCUGACAUUUUUGCCGCCGACAGUCCUAACAUUGCGCAACCAGAGGGCGAGAAACGAUUCACGUCGACGCUGAACCGUCGUGACUCGUCCAGUUGUCUACAGUCAUCGAUCUCCAGCAGCUUAUACACCCGGAAACCGUGCCACAAUUCCACGAGGUAAUUCGAUUCGCGGCCGAAGGAAAUCGGGACGACGACUGGAAUCGUCCUCUCUGUAAUCACGUCGAUGUAAUCGCUUUGGAUGAGCCGGGGAUUGGCAAAGCGAUGGAAAUUUUUCCUCGUUCCCGGCGAAUUAAUUUCGCCCUGUUCAAAGGGUUAACCGGACCGUGGCCACGGAAAUAAUCUACCGCACCUUAGCGAUGCUUCUACACAUUCUCUUGCUUUUCUGACGUAAGAAUCGAGCAACACAAUAGAAAUGAGAGAGAGAGAGAGAGAGAGAAACAGACAGAAGAAGAAGAAUCGACGCGAAGCCGUGCUGGUGAAAUGAUUA